CAUUCGAACGCUGUAAUGCUCAGAUGUGCGAGCGACAGAUGGCCCCUCCUCCCUGUCACGCAGCAGGCGGUCUGGCGGGAGACCCUUGGCGCCUCCGAGGAGGCCGGCGUGUGCUGGAAGGCGUCGAGGGGCAGCCCACCCCAGCUUUGUGCCAGACACGUGCUGAGGACACGAUGAAUGAGACUGCAUGCCCUGCCCUGGAGAAGCUCAGCCUGGAAGGAGUUAGCCAAAUAUUCAUACCCCGAGAGCUGCCUGAGAAGUGACUGCUGCGUCUUACAGUUGCCAUCAGAAGAAUGUGUGUCGAGUGUCGCCAGCACUGACACUUCCCUGGAAAUACCCAUCCCUCAGGAAUUUAAAACUGAUUGUUUCGUCACCAUGACUUCAAGCUGAGGCCUUCGUGAUUAGUAAUGCCUAAAUGUGAUCUAACUUUCUGAGAAUGAGGAAAGUGAUGACAAUGAAAGCUGCAAUUUUUUUUGACAAAGGAUAAAUUUUUUUAAUUGAGGUCAUGAUGGUUUAUAACAUUGUGAAAUUUCAAUUGUACAUUGUUAUUUGUCCAUCACCACAUGAGUGCGCCCCUUCAGCCCC